rnacentral:rRNA from 1 species
UACGGAGGGUGCGAGCGUUGUCCGGAAUCACUGGGCGUAAAGGGCGCGUAGGUGGCGCGGCAAGUCAACGGUGAAAGCUCGACGCUCAACGUCGAGUCGGCCGUCGAUACUGCCGCGCUGGAGCACUGUAGAGGCUCAUGGAAUUCCUGGUGUAGCAGUGAAAUGCGUAGAUAUCAGGAGGAACACCGAUGGCGAAGGCAGGUCUCUGGGCUGACACUGACGCUGAUGCGCGAAAGCCAGGGGAGCGAACGGG